UAUAACUCANAUUUGCAAUCUGGCNCCUUCGGUGUCCGAGUUGUAAUUUGAAGAAGGUAUCUUUGGUUUUGGCUCUUGUCUAUGUUCCUUGGAACAGGACGUCACAGAGGGUGAGAAUCCCGUGCGAUGAGAUGCCCAAUUCCAUGUAAAGUUCCUUCGACGAGUCGAGUUGUUUGGGAAUGCAGCUCUAAGUGGGUGGUAAAUUCCAUCUAAAGCUAAAUAUUGGCGAGAGACCGAUAGCGAACAAGUACUGUGAAGGAAAGAUGAAAAGAACUUUGAAAAGAGAGUGAAAAAGUACGUGAAAUUGUUGAAAGGGAAGGGCUUGAGGUCAGACUUGGUUUUACCAGGCCAGCAUCAGUUUGGAUGGCAGGAUAAUAGCGGAGGAAAGUGGCACCAUUUCGAUGGUGUGUUAUAGCCUUUGUUGAUACUGCCUGUCUAGACUGAGGACUGCGUCUUUGACUAGGAUGCUGGCAUAAUGACCUUAAGCC
rnacentral:rRNA from 1 species